rnacentral:tRNA from 1 species
AUAAUUGAAGCUGAUUUGUCUCUAGAGGACCUUGAACAGGCCGGCUCUCCGCAGGCAAGAAAGUUCAACAAAGCAAAGGGGAGAAGGGGGCGCGUGUCGUGUCCCCUGGGUCGCGGUGUGUACAGGUGAGGCGCAGAGAAGGGCAUAGCAAGGUAACUUCGCUGUUCCCUUUCCUCCCAGGUGGCGGGCGCGCUGGCUGGCCGGGGACGCGUAGAAGGGUAGCCUGGUAGACUGGGACGUCACCCUGGUUGUCAGUUGUGGGCGUGGCUUAUGCAGAUGACGGUCGCGCAGGGGCUGUCGCGUCCGCACCCGCCGCGGAAAGCGAGAUAUUUCUCACGCGGCGAGGGAGGGAGCGCGGGACCCUGGGUGUCAGCGGAGCGCCGAGACGGCGUGUGCGUCGGGGGAGACAUGUGGUGGAAUCUUUCUUUCUCUCGGAGCGCACGCAAGAGUUGUCCCCAGGUGCUCGGCGUGCACUGGAAAGGUGAAGAAGCCGAGGGCACGAGGCGGGUGCAGCGGCUCGACUCACCUACACACCGGCCUGCUGGUCCCGGGACGUUGGGGACGCUACCUGAGUGGGCAGGUCUUUCUGAAUGGAGUCGCCCUGAGACCUGGGUUUCUAGGGCGCGUGGCACUGAGGAGCAGCCGACCGAGAGCACGGACGUGGAGGGCAGGCAGUCCUUGUGGCGACCCGGUAGUGCGGAACCGGUGCGCGGAGACUUGAAUUCCUGGAAGUUGACUCUUCUACCCUGGUGCCUUUUUUGAUCUAGACCUCAGUGAUGACGGCUCCCGGUGUGAGGGACCCUUACUGGGAAAAUAGGUACUAUUUACUCUUCUUCGGCAGAAGCUUGUUUUUAAAACCAAGUUUGUGAUGUCCGAGUAACAAGGCCAUCUGGUGUAGAAUCGACAGAGACACACUCGUAGAACAUUUGCUGCAGAGACAGGCGCUCUGCUCCCGAAGUGUUUGGUUCUCCGACCGACAGUGGAGGUGCCAAGUUUCGGUAUCACCGCUCUACUUCUCUCUUGCGAUGGGGAAGGGGGCAGGAGGGAGGAGCCUCCUUUACAGACCUGGCUCUUCCCAAGAGUUUAGGAUCCUCGUAUUGGAUAAGCCGCUUGGAAUUAUUUCGGUGACUCAGUUUUACCGCAAAGGCAAAAAUCAGAAUUUUGUUAAUUAGUAAGUAAAAAGCUGCAAAGGGACGGUACUACUAAAUGCCGUGACUCGGAUUCGAACCGAGGUUGCUGCGGCCACAACGCAGAGUACUAACCACUAUACGAUCACGGCGAGCCACCGGGCAAGCAGCGGGUUGCGGGCUCAAUUUAAUGGUCUUUGAAUGAGAGUAGCCUUCCAGAGUUGCCUGAUUUAUUUAGUAUAGUCUAUAUGGCCGCAAUAUCAAAAGUCUGGCUUUGAAACCCUGGUGCUUCCGCAAUACUAACACGAGCACCAGCUCCUUGCUUCCUGGGAUUUCAUGACCUGGGAUAAGAAACCGCCGCACCAGCAGACCUAUGUUGUUUCUCUCCAAAGAAACAAGCCACGGACUCAACGGUUUUGUUACCAGAAGAGUGCAACCAGAAAAGGAGCAGAGCUGGUGAAGGAGUCCUUCUCCAGGGCCGUGUUUCCUGGUUCCACUCACAAAGCCUCCCGAACCGAAGGCGGGGCUGCCUCUAAAGUCUCAAAGAGCCAGACUCCAUUUUAGAUACUUUCCUGAACAAUCCCAAAAGGAUAAGCCUACAAGUCUGUGACGCCAUUCGCUGUACUAACAGAUAG